AUUUUAAUAGCUUAUAUUAAGAGUAUAAUAUUGAAGAUAUUAUGGAGUAUAUUUUACUUAAAAUG
rnacentral:tRNA from 1 species